AUACGUGUUGUUCGUGAUUUUUGUUUACCAACAAAGCGAUCGUGGCUCUCCUUCUCCAAAUACAAACUAUAUAGCGUACAGUGUUCGCUCUCCGAUCAGCUGCUCUGACGUUUGCGCACUGACACACUUUCCCGCCACCGUGCCCGCCCCCCGCCCAACCACCACGACAACUGUAGCUGUAUCUGCUAGAUACUUUUCUAUCGCCAGACCAAGUGGCUCUUCGCUGCCAACUGGCCACGGGCCGCCCGAGUGACUAAGCUUCGUGGGGAAGGGGGUGAUGGAAAAAAAAUGAAUACACGUCAACAAAUCAUGGGAUUUAUGAAAUAUGAACGGGAAACCUACUUGAGAUAAUGGGCCAUAACACACAAGUGCAUGUACUGAUACAUAUUUCUGGCAAAAGCACAAACUCUCGGCCAGGUUCAAGGUUGUUUAGCCAUUAGAGCAGCAUUUUGUUGUGGCUUUCUAUAUAUUUUUAGAUAUUCUAUCAUGCAACAGCUGACGGCGACAAGGUGUAGCUUUCGCACUGGGAGAACUGCAACUACAAAAGUAGCAGAGCGACGACACAGGUGCCAAAGAGCAGCAAAAAGAUCGCCGGAUAUAUAUAUAUAUAUAUAUAUAUAUACAUAUAUAUAUAUAUAUAUAUAUAUAUAUUUGUAUAUAUACAUAGGGGAAAUUUAUGUGUGUUUAUGGCCAGCAUACCCACACACAGUCUUGUGAUCUCUCUCCCCAUUCCGUGCCAUUGGCCAACCCAAAGUUUUUAUAAUUAAUCUUAGUCUGCACGCGUUUGGUUUAUGCUCGAAAAAAAUAGUAUAAAAAACAUGGUAAAGCAAACAAAAGUCCCCCACUUCUGCGUGGAGGUAAACAAUAUUGGCGUCAUCGGGUGGACGCCAAGGAAACCCAAAAAAAACCAAAUAGAAAACUAUUUGCGCGCGGCAGCACUUUAAAUUCAAAUAAACAAGGUUCAGAUAGAGAUGGUGCUCUAUCUAAUCGGUAAUGUUUAUGCCAGCUAUGUGGCUGCCACAUCUUGUGUCCCAAAAUGAUUACAACAUGCAAACAGCCAGCAAACUGGAAAGGCGGCCAGCAUCAAAGGCAGUGAAGUGAACCAUGGCCCAGCCCAAGUGAACUCGACUAUUCCGAGCGCUUCUUUCUGGGUUAUUGCGCACAAACUCCACUCCAAGUAACCCCCCUUUCUAUAAGAUCCCCUCCAUGGAGCACAGCUUGCAGAUACUACGCAGUUCGCCAUUAUGUGAAGUCAAAUGACGAACGCCAACGCAUCGACAGAAGCUAAAUGCGACAUCAAGUGAGGCAACUUUUCAUUCGCUUUAUGUUUUCAUUUGGAUGGACAAACAUUUGUGAAUAUGGAAAUGGAGACGCAUAGCUAGCUGCCAUGCAUGUGAAUGCAUUUUUCAGCUGCACUGAGUUGAAUUUUCUUAUGCACUGUAAUGGAUACCAUAUGCGGUGGAAUAUCGUAAUCAUGUGCUAUUGGAUAUUUUUAUGAUAAGUAUAAGUAUUCUAUUCUAAAGCCUAUUUCUUUAUCAAAUAACAAGUUCAUUUCAGUAAUAUCUACAAAGCCCAGUUAAUCUGCUCAAUAAAUGACGCAAUCGAUUCUUUGAUGUCACAGCGACACCAACAAGCACUUAGAAAGACGCUUCACUGUACCAAUGAAUCGAGGUUCAUUGUGUGGCGGAGCUUAUCAAACAAUCGAUGAUAAAUGUGGGAUUGCACAUAUAUAAUUUCAAGUUCGCGCAACUCGCUGCACUUUGGCUGUACAUAUUAAUGGAAUUUAGUUGAGCUUUUUAUUAUAUUUGUAUAUAUAUAAUUGGAUGUUUUAUAACGCGUAAUUUCAAUUAGUACGUGAGACGCAGUUGUGAGACUCUUCUUAGGCAAAUCGGCUGGGCACGGCGCAUAUUUUUUAUCACUUUGUUUAUCAAUAGCAGUCCGCAGGUCCAGCUGUCGUAUGUGGAAUUCUGGGUCAGCGCCGUCACUGGCCACCGAAUCUAUACUAUAUUCACUAAACAAUCAAUCAGUCUAAUAUUCCGCAGGUCAAUCGAUUCUGGCGGAUUACAUCAGGCGCUCAACUGGUGACUCGGAAAUGAGUCUAGUCAUUAUGGUGACUAAAGUCGCAGUGAAAUAAUAUAGCUUUUAGCACGUGUGCAGUUAUAAAAAUAAAGGGCUACACCGGAAUAAAAUUGGUAUGCCAAUUGUAUUUAUAAAAUGGAUUAGAAGAAUAUCUCUACUGGCUAUAAAAUUAUUUAUUUCAAUUGUAAUGAAUGCAAACAAAA